ACGGGAAGAGCCCAAACCAACAAGCUUGCUUGUUGGGGUUGUAGGACACUCUAUACGGAGUUACAAAGGACGACAUUAGACGAAUCAUCUGGAAAGAUGAAUCAAAGAAGGUAAUAAUCCUGUAGUCGAAAAUGUUGUCUCUCUUGAGUGGAUCCUGAGUACGACGGAGCACGUGAAAUUCCGUCGGAAUCUGGGAGGACCAUCUCCUAAGGCUAAAUACUCUCUAGUGACCGAUAGUGAACCAGUACCGUGAGGGAAAGGUGAAAAGCACCCCGGAAGGGGAGUGAAAUAGAACCUGAAACCGUGUGCUUACAAGUAGUCAGAGCCCGUUAAUGGGUGAUGGCGUGCCUUUUGUAGAAUGAACCGGCGAGUUACGAUUUGAUGCAAGGUUAAGCAGUAAAUGUGGAGCCGUAGCGAAAGCGAGUCUGAAUAGGGCGUUUAGUAUUUGGUCGUAGACCCGAAACCAGGUGAUCUACCCUUGGUCAGGUUGAAGUUCAGGUAACACUGAAUGGAGGACCGAACCGACUUACGUUGAAAAGUGAGCGGAUGAACUGAGGGUAGCGGAGAAAUUCCAAUCGAACCUGGAGAUAGCUGGUUCUCUCCGAAAUAGCUUUAGGGCUAGCCUCAAGUGAUGAUUAUUGGAGGUAGAGCACUGUUUGGACGAGGGGCCCCUCUCGGGUUACCGAAUUCAGACAAACUCCGAAUGCCAAUUAAUUUAACUUGGGAGUCAGAACAUGGGUGAUAAGGUCCGUGUUCGAAAGGGAAACAGCCCAGACCACCAGCUAAGGUCCCAAAAUAUAUGUUAAGUGGAAAAGGAUGUGGCGUUGCCCAGACAACUAGGAUGUUGGCUUAGAAGCAGCCAUCAUUUAAAGAGUGCGUAAUAGCUCACUAGUCGAGUGACACUGCGCCGAAAAUGUACCGGGGCUAAACAUAUUACCGAAGCUGUGGAUUGUCCUUUGGACAAUGGUAGGAGAGCGUUCUAAGGGCGUUGAAGCAUGAUCGUAAGGACAUGUGGAGCGCUUAGAAGUGAGAAUGCCGGUGUGAGUAGCGAAAGACGGGUGAGAAUCCCGUCCACCGAUUGACUAAGGUUUCCAGAGGAAGGCUCGUCCGCUCUGGGUUAGUCGGGUCCUAAGCUGAGGCCGACAGGCGUAGGCGAUGGAUAACAGGUUGAUAUUCCUGUACCACCUAUAAUCGUUUUAAUCGAUGGGGGGACGCAGUAGGAUAGGCGAAGCGUGCGAUUGGAUUGCACGUCUAAGCAGUAAGGCUGAGUAUUAGGCAAAUCCGGUACUCGUUAAGGCUGAGCUGUGAUGGGGAGAAGACAUUGUGUCUUCGAGUCGUUGAUUUCACACUGCCGAGAAAAGCCUCUAGAUAGAAAAUAGGUGCCCGUACCGCAAACCGACACAGGUAGUCAAGAUGAGAAUUCUAAGGUGAGCGAGCGAACUCUCGUUAAGGAACUCGGCAAAAUGACCCCGUAACUUCGGGAGAAGGGGUGCUCUUUAGGGUUAACGCCCAGAAGAGCCGCAGUGAAUAGGCCCAAGCGACUGUUUAUCAAAAACACAGGUCUCUGCUAAACCGUAAGGUGAUGUAUAGGGGCUGACGCCUGCCCGGUGCUGGAAGGUUAAGAGGAGUGGUUAGCUUCUGCGAAGCUACGAAUCGAAGCCCCAGUAAACGGCGGCCGUAACUAUAACGGUCCUAAGGUAGCGAAAUUCCUUGUCGGGUAAGUUCCGACCCGCACGAAAGGCGUAACGAUUUGGGCACUGUCUCAACGAGAGACUCGGUGAAAUCAUAGUACCUGUGAAGAUGCAGGUUACCCGCGACAGGACGGAAAGACCCCGUGGAGCUUUACUGUAGCCUGAUAUUGAAAUUCGGCACAGCUUGUACAGGAUAGGUAGGAGCCUUUGAAACGUGAGCGCUAGCUUACGUGGAGGCGCUGGUGGGAUACUACCCUAGCUGUGUUGGCUUUCUAACCCGCACCACUUAUCGUGGUGGGAGACAGUGUCAGGCGGGCAGUUUGACUGGGGCGGUCGCCUCCUAAAAGGUAACGGAGGCGCUCAAAGGUUCCCUCAGAAUGGUUGGAAAUCAUUCAUAGAGUGUAAAGGCAUAAGGGAGCUUGACUGCGAGACCUACAAGUCGAGCAGGGUCGAAAGACGGACUUAGUGAUCCGGUGGUUCCGCAUGGAAGGGCCAUCGCUCAACGGAUAAAAGCUACCCCGGGGAUAACAGGCUUAUCUCCCCCAAGAGUUCACAUCGACGGGGAGGUUUGGCACCUCGAUGUCGGCUCAUCGCAUCCUGGGGCUGUAGUCGGUCCCAAGGGUUGGGCUGUUCGCCCAUUAAAGCGGUACGCGAGCUGGGUUCAGAACGUCGUGAGACAGUUCGGUCCCUAUCCGUCGUGGGCGUAGGAAAUUUGAGAGGAGCUGUCCUUAGUACGAGAGGACCGGGAUGGACAUACCUCUGGUGUACCAGUUGUCGUGCCAACGGCAUAGCUGGGUAGCUAUGUGUGGACGGGAUAAGUGCUGAAAGCAUCUAAGCAUGAAGCCCCCCUCAAGAUGAGAUUUCCCAACUUCGGUUAUAAGAUCCCUCAAAGAUGAUGAGGUUAAUAGGUUCGAGGUGGAAGCAUGGUGACAUGUGGAGCUGACGAAUACUAAUCGAUCGAAGACUUAAUCAA
rnacentral:rRNA from 1 species